AUUAUUUUUUUAGAUUCUUUUUUAUUGUUGAAAAAAUUAAAAACAAAUUGUUUUUUACAAUAAUUAAAAUUUAUAAUAUUUCAAUUUUUAAUUUUUAGUUUUAAAUAAAAAUUACAAAUAUGAAAAAUAAAAAAAUUUUGUUAUAAAUUAAAUUAAUUUAUUUAUAUUAAAAAUAUUUUU
rnacentral:rRNA from 1 species